UACGUAGGUGGCAAGCGUUAUCCGGAAUUAUUGGGCGUAAAGCGCGCGUAGGCGGUUUCUUAAGUCUGAUGUGAAAGCCCCCGGCUCAACCGGGGAGGGUCAUUGGAAACUGGGGAACUUGAGUACAGAAGAGGAGAGUGGAAUUCCAUGUGUAGCGGUGAAAUGCGCAGAGAUAUGGAGGAACACCAGUGGCGAAGGCGGCUCUCUGGUCUGAAACUGACGCUGAGGUGCGAAAGCGUGGGGAUCAAACAGG
rnacentral:rRNA from 1 species